AUGAUUUUAUGGAUAAUUAAAGUCAGUCAUAUAUUCACAAACACAACAGGCUGAAAGUCAGUGAUGCUGCUCGGUUUGCAGUCCUGAAUAUCACGGCACAAGCAGGAUUCACUGCACUGUUAAUGUUAGGGUGGCCAGGCGGCCCGGUCCGGGUUUUUUCUUCCUUCUUUCACACGCCUGGUGGGCGGUGCCACCCGAUCACAAGGGCUGGCAAGGCUUUCGGAGCCUGGGGAGCGGACACCCGCACAAAGGGUGGCCAGGCGGCCCGGUCCGGGUUUUUUCUUCCUUCUUUCACACGCCUGGUGGGCGGUGCCACCCGAUCACAAGGGCUGGCAAGGCUUUCGGAGCCUGGGGAGCGGACACCCGCACAAAGGGUGGCCAGGCGGCCCGGUCCGGGUUUUUUCUUCUUUCUUUCACACGCCUGGUGGGCGGUGCCACCCGAUCACAAGGGCUGGCAAGGCUUUCGGAGCCUGGGGAGCGGACACCCGCACAAAGGGUGGCCAGGCGGCCCGGUCCGGGUUUUUUCUUCUUUUCUUCUUUCUUUCACACGCCUGGUGGGCGGUGCCACCCGAUCACAAGGGCUGGCAAGGCUUUCGGAGCCUGGGGAGCGGACACCCGCACAAAGGGUGGCCAGGCGGCCCGGUCUGGGUUUUUUCUUCUUUUCUUCUUUCUUUCACACGCCUGGUGGGCGGUCCCACCCGAUCACAAGGGCUGGCAAGGCUUUCGGAGCCUGGGGAGCGGACACCCGCACAAAGGGUGGCCCAGUCUGGGCUUUUUCUUCUUUUCUUCUUUCUUUCACACGCCUGGUGGGCGGUGCCACCCGAUCACAAUCGCUGGCAGGGCUUUCGGAGCCUGGGGAGCGGACACCCGCACAAAGGGUGGCCAGGCGGCCCGGUCCGGGUUUUU
ensembl:lncRNA